UACGUAGGGGGCUAGCGUUGUCCGGAAUCAUUGGGCGUAAAGAGCGUGUAGGCGGUCCGGUAAGUCCGCUGUGAAAGUCGGGGGCUCAACCCUCGAAUGCCGGUGGAUACUGUCGGGCUAGAGGAUGGUAGAGGCGAGUGGAAUUCCCGGUGUAGCGGUGAAAUGCGCAGAUAUUGGGAGGAACACCAGUAGCGAAGGCGGCUCGCUGGGCCAUUCCUGACGCUGAGACGCGAAAGCUAGGGGAGCGAACAGG
rnacentral:rRNA from 1 species